ensembl:lncRNA
GUCUCUAUCAGCAUCAACGUCAUCACAGGUCAGUCCCCUAUCCCCCUACACCAGUCUCUAUCAGCAUCAACGUCAUCACAGGUCAGUCCCCUAUCCCCAGUCUCUAUCCUGACAUCAACGUCAUCACAGGUCAGUCCCCUGUCCCCAGUCUCUAUCCUGACAUCAACGUCAUCACAGGUCAGUCCCCUGUCCCCCUACACCAGUCUCUAUCAGCAUCAACGUCAUCACAGGUCAGUCCCCUGUCCUCCUACACCUGUCUCUAUCAGCAUCAACGUCAUCACAGGUCAGUCCCCUAUCCCCCUACACCAGUCUCUAUCCUGACAUCAACGUCAUCACAGGUCAGUCCCCAAUCCCCCUACACCAGUCUCUAUCCUGACAUUAACGUCAUCACAGGUCAGUCCCCUAUCCCCCUACACCAGUCUCUAUCAGAGGGACAGUGCUGCUGUCAGCCUGAAUGAAGA